UCACACAACUCUAGAGCUUCUACUAGCUUCAAGCUUAAAAUAUGCUUUUUUGAGUAAUCCUCCUGUGUGCGAAUCCAACGAUACAAUGCCGGUGUCCAACAGUGUAGCCACUGUUAAAAAAUCUUUUAAAAAGGGUUUAUUUGCACAUUUUGGUAUCAAAAAAC
rnacentral:lncRNA from 1 species